CACGUAGGGUGCGAGCGUUGUCCGGAAUUAUUGGGCGUAAAGAGCUCGUAGGCGGUCUGUUGCAUCGGUUGUGAAAACCUGGGGCUCAACUCCAGGCCUGCAAUCGAUACGGGCAGACUAGAGUUCGGUAGGGGAGACUGGAAUUCCUGGUGUAGCGGUGAAAUGCGCAGAUAUCAGGAGGAACACCGGUGGCGAAGGCGGGUCUCUGGGCCGAAACUGACGCUGAGGAGCGAAAGCGUGGGGAGCGAACAGG
rnacentral:rRNA from 1 species